rfam:Dendroctonus ponderosae Seq01036159, whole genome shotgun sequence.
CCCGCGACAAUCUCGCACCUGGGGCUCACAUACAAUGUACUUGUUACAUCUUACGCAACGGGAAGGUCUGAGACAGGCAAUUAUCCUCUAGCCGGGGACUUGCAUAAUCGCAAGGCGAGGGAACCAGAAAUAUGCCAGUCUGGAUGCGUAAGCCUGGGAUUGUCAAUGUUUCAAUGGCAUAGGUGUCGCAUUUAGAUGGGUUGGAAACUCUCGCAGCCAGCAAUUUUAGUUCAAUCUGCGAGUUGACGAUUUAUUCGUUAAAACUCAAUUCAGACUAAUCUGUCGCGGG